rnacentral:misc_RNA from 1 species
AAGAACCUCCACAUAUUGAGGAGAGGCCAUUUAACUGUGGAUUUUAUGGUGGAUUAUCAAGAGAAGCCAACAAUGCUGGUUUGGCUCUUGGGAUGUUCAUGGGAAAUCAGAUAGCUGAGAACAAAAGUAUGGUUUCAAAUCAGAAUCAAAAUUCAGUGUUUUUAGGGACCGGAGUUGUAAGGUCUUCUCAGCAGCAGCAGCAACAGCA